GACGAACGCUGGCGGCGUGCUUAGCACAUGCAAGUCGAACGAUGAACCCGGAGCUUGCUCCGGCGGAUUAGUGGCGAACGGGUGAGUAACACGUGAGUAACCUGCCCUUGACUCUGGGAUAACUGCUAGAAAUGGUAGCUAAUACCGGAUACGACCCUCGGUGGCAUCACCAGGGGGUGGAAAGAAUUUCGGUCAAGGAUGGACUCGCGGCCUAUCAGCUGGUUGGUGAGGUAACGGCUCACCAAGGCGACGACGGGUAGCCGGCCUGAGAGGGUGAUCAGCCACACUGGGACUGAGAUACGGCCCAGACUCCUACGGGAGGCAGCAGUGAGGAAUAUUGCGCAAUGGGCGAAAGCCUGACGCAGCAACGCCGCGUGUAGGAUGAAAUCCUUCGGGAUGUAAACUACUGUUAGAGGGGAAGAAAUCCCGGUUACGCCGGGAGUGACGGUACCCUCAGAGAAAGCCACGGCUAACUCUGUGCCAGCAGCCGCCGUAA
rnacentral:rRNA from 1 species